GCCACACAUGUUAAGGACCCUCAGCCCAGGGAGGUGGCUUUAAUCUUGGUUCUCCAGUGUCAGGAAGAGAUCCUUCAGUCAUGGGAGAACCUUUCUUGGCCGAGUUCGUAGUCAGAGGGAGAUGUGACUACAGAAGAAUGGUUGGACACGUGCAACACUGUGGGCUUUACAGAGGAAGGAAGGGGACAUGAGCCAAGGAACUCUGGCAGCCUCUAGAAGCUAAAAAAGGUAAUCAGGAAGUCUCCUAGGAUAAGGUUAUUAUAUUCAAGUCCUGCCAAAAAAUGUAAGAAAAGAAGCUCCUAUUUGAGUGGACCAAAAAGAACAAUUAUACCUCCUAAAAAUAAAAUGAACCUAAGCUAAGAAAAUGAAAAGGUUUCUAAAGAAGUUUCUUAGGAAGCUACUGAAGGAUGUAUACCACCCAAACAAAGGAGAUAAUGAAAGGAGAGAAAGAUAUAAGAAACAGAAGCUCCAACUCAAGAGAAAAGCAUAAAGCAUCCCUAGGAGAAUGGUGAAGAGAUAUCCUGGGAAGAUAAUUAUGCAGCAGGCACAGAGAGCAGCCAAGUCAAAUGGAGUAAGUUGGAAAUCUCAGGGAAAGAUUUCUCCAAAAAGAUGAAAAUGAUAGAAUAUGUGACGAGCUUGAAACUGUUGAGAGAUUUAGGCAGUUGGGGAGAGAUUGUGGUUGAAUUAGUUAUAACUACAGAGAAAACCAA
rnacentral:lncRNA from 1 species